AGUGAACGCUGGCGGUAGGCCUAACACAUGCAAGUCGAGCGCCCAGCAAUGGGAGCGGCAGACGGGUGAGUAACGCGUGGGGAUGUGCCCAAUGGUGCGGAAUAACCCAGGGAAACUUGGAUUAAUACCGCAUGUGCCCUUCGGGGGAAAGAUUUAUCGCCAUUGGAUCAACCCGCGUCUGAUUAGCUAGUUGGUGAGGUAAAGGCUCACCAAGGCGACGAUCAGUAGCUGGUCUGAGAGGAUGAUCAGCCACACUGGGACUGAGACACGGCCCAGACUCCUACGGGAGGCAGCAGUGGGGAAUAUUGGACAAUGGGCGCAAGCCUGAUCCAGCCAUGCCGCGUGAGUGAUGAAGGCCUUAGGGUUGUAAAGCUCUUUCGCCGGUGAAGAUAAUGACGGUAACCGGAGAAGAAGCCCCGGCUAACUUCGUGCCAGCCGCCGCAGUAA
rnacentral:rRNA from 1 species